GGCCUCAAUUUCCACCUGCUACCCCUGGUCCACUUUAUCCAUUCGUCGCCGUCCAUGCUCCGCCUGCUGCACUGCCCCCUCCUGCUGCACCCACAGCCGCCCGCGCUCCACGCGCUGGAACUGCCGCCGCCGCCCGCUGCACCCGUCGCCACCCGCACUCCACUUGCCGCCGCCUACGCUCCACUCGCCUCCCACGCAAACUGUCGCCUGCUCGUGCAGGCCGCCGACGUCGUCCGCGCAAUUGGCCUCCCGCACAAGCCGCCACCGCCCGCUGCGGAGAGGAGGAGCAGGUCCAGCACCGGCGUCUAGGACCGGAGCGAGAGGAGGUCACGAUCGGAGGAGGCGAGAAACGCCAGCAGAGUGGGAGCAAUGGGCUAAAGAGUCGAGCAGCAACGUGGAGCUAGGGGAAAGGUGGUUGGUAGGUGUAGGUUGCCGAAAGGUGCAAAUCGCCUGUUCCUGCCGGCGUCGAGCAAAUCGUCUACUUCGUUCUCUCUCACCCACGUUAGAUUCGGAUGACGUGUACAUGUAUUUCGCCAGCUGAGGUGGCUCCAUAAUAUUUACUCUUAGUCUCUGGUUCCAAAUAGGUAGGGUUUAAAGUUUUCAAAUUAGUUCUGGGACUUAAGAAUUCAAACUGAAUUUUAAUUACUAUGUCAUGAAACUGUGCACGAGAAGUGACAAAAGCUACCCAGUGCGUGCCCUGCUGCUUGCAUUGGCUGUCCGCUCGUUGCCUAAAUGUGCUCCAACAAGAUCGAUGUGCUCUAUCUGAUCCCUGAGCUGAGGGAUCGAUCGAUCAAUGCCGCGGUCUCGCAGCUGUCCGCGUGAUCUUGUGCUACGAGGACACCAAGCAGGAGCAACCAGCUAAUAAAUCAACACGCAUCGUCAGCUGGCAACAAGUCUUUUUUUUUUGAAAGAUACAGCUGGCAACAAGUCGUUGACGACCAAUCAGUGGUUGCAGAUUACUGACCGGCUUGGUUUCUCUUGCUCCAUCGGAAGUGAAGAUGGCUUUACCAAUCCUCGCGACUUUACCGGCUACUAGGAUUGUGAUUGUUCGGCAAUCAGCAAGGAGGGAACAAGCGAGAUUAGGCCAGGCAGCUGGCCCGUAGUUACUAACACACACACACCAUUUGUACUAGUACUACUUUAUUAUCACUGCCAUUGCAAACCAACUUUUUGAGAAGACUUGUCGAUAGCUCCGCGACACGAGUGCCUUUUCCAUUAGAGCAAGGCUAAUAGCCUGUUGUUGGCUGCAAGAGUUUUUACAGUUCAUCUCUCUUACUAUUUGUAUCGUGGUUUAGCUCUCCACUAUUAAUAUAUGGCUCAUUUAUCUA